ACAGGUCCUCAUUUCCCUCUCCUAAUGAUGCCCCAAAACAUUAAGGGAAGUUAAAUCAAACCACCAGGUGUCCAGCAUGAACAGCUGAAAUAAUAAAUUCACGAGGUUUGAAUCCAAAUAACUGAUGAUUUGUUCCAUGAAUGCCAGAGCUGGAAGGGAUGGGGUUGGCAGAAGAGACAAGACUGGACCAUGGACCUGGUGGUUCUGUGCAGAGGCCAAAGCUACUCUCCUUCCCACCUGGCCCUGUGCUGGGCCUAACCUGGAGCCCCCUCUAUCCUCUGCCUCAUUCUUCUCCGGGUCAAGGUCCAGCAUGAACUCCAUGUCCUCCAGGAAGCCCUGGUGGACUUGGGCAGACCUGGGGACACGUCCAGCCUCCUGGCAAGAUGGGGGUAACAGGAGUGUGUAUAAAGGGGAAGG
rnacentral:lncRNA from 1 species